GAUGAACGCUGGCGGCGUGCUUAACACAUGCAAGUCGAACGGAAAGGCCCUGCGUUUGAGGGGUACUCGAGUGGCGAACGGGUGAGUAACACGUGAGUAACCUGCCCUUGACUUUGGGAUAACCCUAGGAAACUGGGGCUAAUACCGGAUAGGAGCUCUUGCUGCAUGGCGUUGAUUAGAAAGUUUCGGCGGUUGGGGAUGGGCUCGCGGCAUCUGCGCUUGAUGGUGGGGUAGUGGCUUACCAAGGUUUUGAAGGGUAGCCGGCCUGAGAGGGUGAACGGCGACAUUGGGACUGAGAUACGGACCAGACUGGUACGGGAGGCAGCAGUGGGGAAUAUUGCACAAUGGGCGGAAGCCUGAUGCAGCGACGCCGCGUGCGUGAUGACGGCCUUCGGGUUGUAAACAGAUUUCGCAUGUGACGAAGCGUGAGUGACGGUAACUGGUAAAGAAGCACCGGCUAACUACGUG
rnacentral:rRNA from 1 species